rnacentral:rRNA from 1 species
AAGUCGUAACAAGGUUUUCGUAGCAACAGUCUAUGGAGCGUCAGUAAUGAUUCUUCCGCAGAGUACACUUGCUGAAGCCUUAGUAGCCCGAGAGGGUUGCACACGCGACUGAAAAUAAAGAGGUGCAUUAAAUGCUAGUCUCAAUUCCGAGGCGGCACUAUCAAAUUGCGGGAACAUCCUGUUCAAGUCUUCACUACCGCGGCUCGCCGAAAGGCAGAGUGCAGCACCAAGGCUAAUGACCUCGGGGAUGGUAAAAACGUGAAGAAUAGGGACGAUCCGCAGCCAAGCGCUAAGUAUCCGCUGGAUAUAUGCGUGCAGUUCACAGGCCAAAUGGUAGUGUGCACUCCGGUGCUUAAGAUAUGGUCGAGUCCCAUUCGAAAGUCCGGGUAUGAGUACUCUUGCAGUCAAAACGUUCCGUAGGUGAACCUGCGGAAGGAUCAUUAAUGUGUCCCACUGGCUGUGCGCUCUCGCGGGCUGCACGCCGGUAAACACUUUUCCACACCUGUGCACCUUUUCGGUGGGGGGUUACUCCCUCAUCUGUAUCAUCACACAUCAGUCAGUCUUGAAUGUUAAAUCGAUAUCAAUACAACUUUCAGCAACGGAUCUCUAGGCUCUCGCAUCGAUGAAGAACGCAGCGAAAUGCGAUAAGUAAUGUGAAUUGCAGAAUUCAGUGAAUCAUCGAAUCUUUGAACGCACCUUGCGCUCCAUGGUAUUCCGUGGAGCACGCCUGUUUGAGUGUCACGUUAAUCAUCGUUCCGGAGACGUCAAACUCUUCGGCGCGGAUUUGGACGCUGCCGUAGUUGGCUCGUCUCGAAAUGCAUUAGCUGUCAAAGGACUCCAGAGCUACUGGUGUAAUACUUGUUGUUGCGCUGCCCGUUCUGUGCCUGGUCGAAAGCUCAUAAAUAGCCCGCGAGGNCAANUUUCUAAGACAAUUGNCCUCAAAUCAGGUGGGNCUNCCCGCUGAACUNAAGCAUAUCAAUAAGCGGNGGAAAAGAAACUAACANGGAUUCCCCUAGUAACGGCGAGUGAAGAGGGAAGAGCUCAAAUUUGUAAUCUGGCGNUCUUUGGCCGUNCGAGUUGUAAUUUAGAGAGGCGUUUUCCGCGUCGGACCACGCACAAGUCCCCUGGAAUGGGGCGUCAGAGAGGGUGAGAAUCCCGUUCUUGGCGUGGACUACCGAGGCUAUGUGAUGCGCCCUCGAAGAGUCGAGUUGUUUGGGAAUGCAGCUCAAAAUGGGUGGUAAAUUCCAUCUAAAGCUAAAUAUUGGCGAGAGACCGAUAGCGAACAAGUACCGUGAGGGAAAGAUGAAAAGAACUUUGGAAAGAGAGUUAAACAGUACGUGAAAUUGCUGAAAGGGAAACGCUUGAAGUCAGUCUCUUCGUUGCAGAUUCAGCCGGGCUUCUGUUCGGUGUACUUCUGCAGUGAGGGGUCAGCAUCAAUUUCGAGCGCUGGAAAAGGUUUCGAGGAAUGUGGCNCCNUCGGGUGUGUUAUAGACUCGGGUCAGAUUACAGUGCUUGGGAUUGAGGANNNCAGCGCGCCCACAAGGGUUGGGGCUUGCCCACAUUCGCGCUUAGGAUGCUGGCGUAAUGGCUUUAAGCGACCCGUCUUGAAACACGGACC